rnacentral:rRNA from 1 species
AUGGCUCAGGACGAACGCUGGCGGCGUGCCUAACACAUGCAAGUCGAGCGAGGAGAUCCUUCGGGAUGAUCCUAGCGGCGGACGGGUGAGUAACACGUGGGCAACCUGCCUCAUAGAGAGGAAUAGCCUUCCGAAAGGGAGAUUAAUACCUCAUAACAUUGCAGUUUCGCAUGGAACAGCAAUUAAAGGAGCAAUCCGCUAUGAGAUGGGCCCGCGGCGCAUUAGCUAGUUGGUGAGGUAACGGCUCACCAAGGCGACGAUGCGUAGCCGACCUGAGAGGGUGAUCGGCCACAUUGGGACUGAGACACGGCCCAGACUCCUACGGGAGGCAGCAGUGGGGAAUAUUGCACAAUGGGGGAAACCCUGAUGCAAGCAACGCCGCGUGAGUGAUGACGGCCUUCGGGUUGUAAAGCUCUGUCUUCAGGGACGAUAAUGACGGUACCUGAGGAGGAAGCCACGGCUAACUACGUGCCAGCCGCUGC